rnacentral:rRNA from 1 species
GUCGAACGGCAGCACGGGAGCAAUCCUGGUGGCGAGUGGCGAACGGGUGAGUAAUACAUCGGAACGUGCCCUGUAGUGGGGGAUAACUAGUCGAAAGACUAGCUAAUACCGCAUACGACCUGAGGGUGAAAGUGGGGGACCGCAAGGCCUCAUGCUAUAGGAGCGGCCGAUGUCUGAUUAGCUAGUUGGUGGGGUAAAGGCCUACCAAGGCGACGAUCAGUAGCUGGUCUGAGAGGACGAUCAGCCACACUGGGACUGAGACACGGCCCAGACUCCUACGGGAGGCAGCAGUGGGGAAUUUUGGACAAUGGGGGCAACCCUGAUCCAGCAAUGCCGCGUGUGUGAAGAAGGCCUUCGGGUUGUAAAGCACUUUUGUCCGGGAAGAAAUCGCACCUGAUAAUACCGGGUGUGGAUGACGGUACCGGAAGAAUAAGGACCGGCUAACUACGUGCCAGCAGCCGCGGUAAUACGUAGGGUCCAAGCGUUAAUCGGAAUUACUGGGCGUAAAGCGUGCGCAGGCGGUUGUGCAAGACCGAUGUGAAAUCCCCGGGCUUAACCUGGGAAUUGCAUUGGUGACUGCACGGCUAGAGUGUGUCAGAGGGGGGUAGAAUUCCACGUGUAGCAGUGAAAUGCGUAGAGAUGUGGAGGAAUACCGAUGGCGAAGGCAGCCCCCUGGGAUAACACUGACGCUCAUGCACGA